GCGUCUGUCCCGCGAAGGCGCGGACUCGCCCCAAAGGCAUUGGCAGCAGUCCCUGCCGGGAUUCCCCAACAGCGCAGCACUGUUCGCGCACCCGGGGGCCCGGCGCGGGGUCCAGCGUCCACGAAGCCCGAUUGCAUCGCAACCUUGACCUCGGAUCAGGUAGGGAUACCCGCUGAACUUAAGCAUAUCAAUAAGCGGAGGAAAAGAAACCAACUGGGAUUGCCCUAGUAACGGCGAGUGAAGCGGCAACAGCUCAAAUUUGAAAUCUGGCCCUCUCCGGGGGUCCGAGUUGUAAUUUGCAGAGGGUGCUUUGGCUUUGGUUGCGGUCUAAGUUCCUUGGAACAGGACAUCACAGAGGGUGAGAAUCCCGUACGUGGUCGCGUACCAUCGCCGUGUAAAGCCCCUUCGACGAGUCGAGUUGUUUGGGAAUGCAGCUCUAAAUGGGAGGUAAAUUUCUUCUAAAGCUAAAUACUGGCCAGAGACCGAUAGCGCACAAGUAGAGUGAUCGAAAGAUGAAAAGCACUUUGGAAAGAGAGUCAAACAGCACGUGAAAUUGUUGAAAGGGAAGCGCUUGCAGCCAGACUUGCCCGCAGUUGCUCACCCAGGCUCUUGCCUGGGGCACUCUUCUGCGGGCAGGCCAGCAUCAGUUUGGGCGGCUGGAUAAAGGCCUCUGUCA
rnacentral:rRNA from 1 species